AGUAAUGCCUAGGAAAUUGCCCUGAUGUGGGGGAUAACCAUUGGAAACGAUGGCUAAUACCGCAUGAUGCCUACGGGCCAAAGAGGGGGACCUUCGGGCCUCUCGCGUCAGGAUAUGCCUAGGUGGGAUUAGCUAGUUGGUGAGGUAAGGGCUCACCAAGGCAACGAUCCCUAGCUGGUCUGAGAGGAUGAUCAGCCACACUGGAACUGAGACACGGUCCAGACUCCUACGGGAGGCAGCAGUGGGGAAUAUUGCACAAUGGGCGCAAGCCUGAUGCAGCCAUGCCGCGUGUAUGAAGAAGGCCUUCGGGUUGUAAAGUACUUUCAGUCGUGAGGAAGGCGGUGUCGUUAAUAGCGGCAUCGUUUGACGUUAGCGACAGAAGAAGCACCGGCUAACUCCGUGCCAGCAGCCGCGGUAAUACGGAGGGUGCGAGCGUUAAUCGGAAUUACUGGGCGUAAAGCGCAUGCAGGUGGUUUGUUAAGUCAGAUGUGAAAGCCCGGGGCUCAACCUCGGAAUAGCAUUUGAAACUGGCAGACUAGAGUACUGUAGAGGGGGGUAGAAUUUCAGGUGUAGCGGUGAAAUGCGUAGAGAUCUGAAGGAAUACCGGUGGCGAAGGCGGCCCCCUGGACAGAUACUGACCCUCACAUGCGAAAGCGUGGGGAGCAACAGGAUUACAUACCCUGGUCGUCCACGCCGUAAACGAUGU
rnacentral:rRNA from 1 species